AUCCAAUUUUAACUAUGGACUAGCCAGACCACCUGAGCUGAUACCUCGGCUGUAUAAAUGUGGCUCCUUGUGGAAUUGCUUUUACUGAACUUUCAUUUGUAAGUGGCCAAAGCUGCCUGGGUAUUUAGCUAUGUUAUUGAAGCGAUUGGACACUGCUGUGUCUAUGAGGAGCUUCAUGGAGAAGUUCCUGAAACCUCAGCACUUGGGAAAGGUUUCUUCUGGCAUUUGAGAGCCUACAAUAGGUCAGACAGUAUUUGAGAUACUGGGGCUACAGGCGAAACCCAAAGACAAGUCAACAUCAUGUGAUCUCUGAUAUGUUAAACUGGAAAAAAACACAUCAAUUCAGCAGUAAUGCAUAAUCAUGAGGAAACAUCAGGUAAACUUAAAUUGAGACACAACCCCGUUGGUCUUGAUUGUUCAAAAAAUGUCAUAAAAGACAAAGGAAGUCAGAGAAACUGUUUCAGGUCAAAGGAGACUAAAGAAACAUGGAAGUAAUGCAAUGAUCCUGUUUGGGAUCUCAGCCCAGAAUGAAAAUUGUUAUGAAGGACAUGAUUGGGACAAGUAGUAAGAUUUGAAAUAAGGACUACAGAGAGAGAAAGCAACGAGGCAGAAGGUUAACAGUUGGUCAAUCUGGUAGAAGGAUAAGCAAGAGUUCUUUGCACUAUUCUGGCAACUCUUUUGUAAGUUUGAAAUAAUCUUUAAAAUAAAAAAUAAAAAUA